ensembl:lncRNA
GCAACAAAGAUGCAUUUGUGCAGAAUGCAAUACUUUUCCAUGUCGUCAUUCAACGACAGAGCUGCUAUGAUCAGUUAGUUGAGGGUUUGAAGUACUACGAGGUUCUGCCACUCCUGAAAGAAAGGCCUUGCCUUAGGGUCCUUCUUGAUAUGCCCGAAGAACCCAGUGAUGUCCCAGCAGAUGUUGUGGCUACCCUCCUGAAACCCAACUACUCUGUUCUGGGAAGUAACAAAAGACCAAGAGAGGAGUUAAUGGUGGUUAAGUUCAGAGAGUUUCUUCACUGUGUACAAGAGAAGGAGCUUGGGAACAUCUUAACGGCAGGAACCUCACUGAGGCAGAAAAUGCGUUUAUCCUGACAUUGAAUCCUGGACACAUCCUAGCCUUUGCAACGGAAGCAGCAAAGUUCCUGCAAUUGGAUUUUCUCCCAGUCCAAAACUGACUUUUGUUCAUGAUGACACGAAGCACCUCCUCAUUGCUCACACCUGCUCAAAUGAGCUUCAGAUCUUUGUUAAUAGAAAGAAUCUGGCAGAUGACGAUGAAUUUGAUUACAAUUGUCUGGUGGCUCUCAUGAAUGGAUCAAUUUUUAGUGCUGUGUAGUCUCGCAAAAAAAUGCUUGGACUGUACAUUUGGAGCCCAGAUCUUUUAAUGGGUGGACUUGUUUAGAAUCUGGUGUGGCAUGUUGUUUGAGUUAAAAUGUUGUUUCGCCUAAACUCUGAUCUGAACUAUGUGUCAUAUAUAGUUUGGACGACAGUUUACUCGUGUUUUUAUUAAUUAUUCUCAGGUGUGUUGUCUGAUUAAUAUUCAUUGUUCAUUUUAGCUGUAUCAGACAGACUAUUGUUUUCAUUCCGUUUAAUUAUUUAAAUGCAGUAUUUCAAAUAAGUGCCCAGUUCCUAUAGACUCACAGGUGUGAGUUAAAAUAAAAUAUAUCUUUGCACACGA